UUAUCAGUCCACGUGUUGACAUGUCUUUAUUUCAUGAAAUAUGAAACACUGAAUCUGUAAAUUUGUUCGCAUGAUUGUUGUCAUCGGACUUAUUGACUUAUGCUCAUGAAAAAGACAUUAUUCUUGACUUCUGCUUUCAAACCGUGAAUGUAAUACGUGGAGGUGAUAUAAUUCACAAAAUUCACGGUCGUAAUGGCCCUCUGAGGGAAACCAUCACCACAAUUUGGCCCGCGACUAAAAUUGGUUUGACACCCCUGCUGAGUAGAACCAUGCAAAUCGUCCCCCCCCACCCAGAAAAAAGUAAUAACAAUGAACUUAUUGUACGUGUAUGACUAUUAUAAUUUUAAAUACAGUAUGUUUCCAAUAGUUUCGCAGCAGUGGGUAGAAGCAGUUCACGUGUAUUGUCGAAUUGACAGGAAGUAGUUUUGGCCACCGGAUCUGACUUCCCAGUGCUCCAUUAUGCUCCAUUAAUGAGUCAGAGCCUUCAGGAGUGCACUCUUAAAAAAAAAAAAAGCUGCUGAAACGUUUAAGCGAGAGGUCUCACAGCAGGUAGCGGACAGUUGUCGCUUGUGAACCUUCUCAUUUUCAUAAUUACCCUUUUCCAAAUGAAUAACCUUGAUCUACUCGGGGAAGUGAUUUGAGUGCGCUGACAAUAAGGAGGUGAAAAUGACCUUCUCUGAAAGCUUUAGGGCGACCCGGGAUCCCAGGCCAAAGUUGGGGGGGGGCAGAAGAAGCAGAAAUGGGAAAUACAUCAGUGUCUAAUUGAGCUUGGUAGAUAGGGAGAGAGAUUUAUUUUUUCAAAUCAAAAAAAGGCCCCCCCCCCCAUAUCCCAGUCAUGUAGUCGGCGAGGAGGAAUGCUGAGCUCACAAGCAUUCCUUCUUUACCACAGCAUCCCAUAUUAUUAACAAUAGGGGCUAUUCAUCUUCCUUCUGGCAGCAUGUGAGGGGUGGGUGGUGUGGUAUACAGAACGAAGGAGAGGGGGGGGGCAGAACAAGGAAGAGAGCUACUGUAUGGUUCCACUUUCUUGAACAAUACAGAUGGAGAGGGACUGUGGCAUUCAGGUUGUCCCGCAUCCAACGUUUUCGUAUCAUGCCCGUUGUGGCUGAUGUCAGUAAGUGACGCAGCCUAUAGCGCAAUGCUAACUUGGGGUGUUAUCUGGUUGACGAUCCAAAAAGAUGGCAAGUUAGGAAGUUUACAAGACGCGCUGGUGUUCUGGUUCGAAUAUACGCAAUACAGUAAGGGACAGUCAACCAGUCAUACUCUGAGUCACAAUCUUACAUAACCCAUUUUAAACAUCCAAAAUAUCAGCAGACAUGUAUGAUCCGGUGCCCACUUGACAUCUCUGUGAUUUUCCCAAGCUAACACUCUCAUUCGCCUGUAGCUUGCAGUUCCUCUGAGACCGACCGACUUUAGCUGGUGCGCUACUCAAAUCAGUGACUUCUUCUGCCAUGUCAAGGUCAAGGACGAUCAAGGACGAUUCUCCCUUGCGAUAUUUGAAAGGAUGAGAGGGUCCGCUUUAUCUGGCUGUCAAUCAAGUCGGCUGUGUUCACGCCCACAAUGUUGCAAAAACUCCUUUAAUGCUUAAAUGCAGCACGCGGGGGCGACCCGGUAGUCCGGUGGCACAGUCACAGUGCAGAGGUACCGGGUUCGAUUCCAGCUCCGGCCUCCCUGUGUGGAGUUUGCAUGCUCUCCCCGGGCCUGCGUGGGUUUUCUCCGGGUGCUCCGGUUUCCCCCCCCA